GAUGAACGCUGGCGGCGUGCUUAACACAUGCAAGUCGAACGAAACACCUUAUUUGAUUUUCUUCGGAACUGAAGAUUUGGUGAUUGAGUGGCGGACGGGUGAGUAACGCGUGGGUAACCUGCCCUGUACAGGGGGAUAACAUUCAGAAAUGACUGCUAAUACCGCAUAAGACCACAGCACCGCAUGGUGCAGGGGUAAAACCUCCGGUGGUACAGGAUGGACCCGCGUCUGAUUAGCUGGUUGGUGAGGUAACGGCUCACCAAGGCGACGAUCAGUAGCCGGCUUGAGAGAGUGAACGGCCACAUUGGGACUGAGACACGGCACAAACUCCUACGGGAGGCAGCAGUGGGGAAUAUUGCACAAUGGGGGAAACCCUGAUGCAGCGACGCCGCGUGAGUGAAGAAGUAUUUCGGUAUGUAAAGCUCUAUCAGCAGGGAAGAAAAUGACGGUACCUGACUAAGAAGCCCCGGCUAACUACGUG
rnacentral:rRNA from 1 species